GAUUUCUGGUAUGAUGAACAUGUCCCGGCUCGAAAGAGAUCGUGUGGCUUCGUGCGUCUACCAUCCUUCGCUACAGAUGUGCUGGCAUGUAAAAGUGUCCGCUGCUGUUGCGAUCUUUUACUUUGAAAAAAUUAGAGUGUUUAAAGCAGGCUUGUGCCUUGAAUACAUUAGCAUGGAAUAAUAAUAUAGGACUGGGUUCCUAUUUUGUUGGUUUUCUGGAAUCAAGUAAUGAUUGAUAGGGAUAGUUGGGGGUGCUAGUAUUCAGCGGCCAGAGGUGAAAUUCUUUGAUUCGCUGAAGACUAACUUAUGCGAAAGCAUU
rnacentral:rRNA from 1 species